UUCCCCCCACCCGUGGUAAGGAACAGAGUAUAAAAUAAAAACAAAAAGGCACAAAAGAGUCUUUUAUGUUUUAAAUACAAGCACCAUUUAGGUUGCUGUAAUACCAUGGAAGAAAUGAUAUGGCAACCAGAAAAUAAGAAUAAAAUAAUUUUCUGGGGUCGAGAAAUCGGCUAAGAUAUUGUGUGGAAGUUACCCAGCCCUUGACGGAGAAAAGUAGAAGGAGGGACGACCUCACGGCAGCAACUACAAAUAAGUCUGCAACAACAACGACGGCCGCAGCGACGAUACAGAAACAGGCGGCAUCAGGAAAUCAUCCUACAACAAACAACGGCGGCAGCGACGACAGCAGCAGCAAAAA